AGACGCUGCGGCGUGCUAAUACAUGCAAGUCAACUUGACUCUAGGUAGCAAUACUGAAAAGUAGAGUGGCGCACGGGUGCGUAACGCGUAGGUAAUCUGCCCUAAGGUCUGACAUAACCUAGCCGAAAGGCAGGCUAAUAUCAGAUGAUACAAAUUCACGACAUCGUGGAAUUGUCAAAUCUUCGGAGCCAUAGGAUGAGCCUGCGUCUGAUUAGGUAGUUGGCGGAGUAAUAGCCCACCAAGCCUACGAUCAGUAGCUGGUCUGAGAGGAUGAUCAGCCACACUGGAACUGAGACACGGUCCAGACUCCUACGGGAGGCAGCAGUAAGGAAUAUUGCUCAAUGGGGGAAACCCUGAAGCAGCAACGCCGCGUGAAGGAUGACGUACUUUUGUAUGUAAACUUCUGUAAGAUAGGAAAAAUAUUCCCCUCGGGGGAAUUGAUUGUACUAUCAGAGUAAGCCCCGGCUAACUACGUG
rnacentral:rRNA from 1 species